rfam:Felis catus isolate Cinnamon breed Abyssinian chromosome C1, whole genome shotgun sequence.
GCCUGAGUGGCUCAGUCGGUUGAGCGUCUGACUUCGGCUCAGGUCAUGAUCUCACACUCCGUGAGUUUGAGCCCCGCAUCGGGCU